AUUAUUGUUUGGCUUCUUAUUUUUUUUAUUGCAUUUUAUUUUAUUUUGGGUUACUUUUUUUUUUUUUUAAGUUGAAAAUUAAACAAAUUAGCCAAAAAAAAAAGAAAUCGAAUAUGCUGAAUUGAGCUAUAGGGUUGGAUCCUAUUAAUUAGCAAAAAUUCCUAUAGUUUAAAAAAAAAAAAAAAAAAAAACAACGAAAAAAAAAGAGAAAAAAAGAGAAAAAAUAUAAAACAUAUUUCUACUUCACUUUGUACAAUCCAUAUUGUCUAGUCAAGUAGUUGCAAGCCUGUUCUGUAUAGCGAAUGUCAACUACGCAGUUUAUAAUAUUUAACGAUACUUAG